GAUGAACGCUGGCUACAGGCUUAACACAUGCAAGUCGAGGGGAAACGACGGGGAAGCUUGCUUCCCCGGGCGUCGACCGGCGCACGGGUGAGUAACGCGUAUCCAACCUGCCUCUGACUGAGGGAUAACCCGUCGAAAGUCGGCCUAAUACCUCAUGGCAUCGUCUGCGGGCAUCCAACGACGAUUAAAGAUUUCAUCGGUCAGGGAUGGGGAUGCGUCUGAUUAGCUUGUUGGCGGGGUAACGACCCACCAAGGCUACGAUCAGUAGGGGUUCUGAGAGGAAGGUCCCCCACAUUGGAACUGAGACACGGUCCAAACUCCUACGGGAGGCAGCAGUGAGGAAUAUUGGUCAAUGGGCGGGAGCCUGAACCAGCCAAGUAGCGUGCAGGAUGACGGCCCUAUGGGUUGUAAACUGCUUUUAUGCGGGGAUAAAGUGAGGGACGUGUCCUUCAUUGCAGGUACCGCAUGAAUAAGGACCGGCUAAGUCCGUG
rnacentral:rRNA from 1 species